rnacentral:rRNA from 1 species
UUAAGUUAUUAAGGGCGCACGGUGGAUGCCUUGGCACUAGAAGCCGAUGAAGGACGUUACUAACGACGAUAUGCUUUGGGGAGCUGUAAGUAAGCUUUGAUCCAGAGAUUUCCGAAUGGGGAAACCCAGCAUGAGUUAUGUCAUGUUAUCGAUAUGUGAAUACAUAGCAUAUCAGAAGGCACACCCGGAGAACUGAAACAUCUUAGUACCCGGAGGAAGAGAAAGAAAAUUCGAUUCCCUUAGUAGCGGCGAGCGAAACGGGAAGAGCCCAAACCAAAAAGCUUGCUUGUUGGGGUUGUAGGACACUCUAUACGGAGUUACAAAGGACGACAUUAGACGAAUCAUCUGGAAAGAUGAAUCAAAGAAGGUAAUAAUCCUGUAGUCGAAAAUGUUGUCUCUCUUGAGUGGAUCCUGAGUACGACGGAGCACGUGAAAUUCCGUCGGAAUCUGGGAGGACCAUCUCCUAAGGCUAAAUACUCUCUAGUGACCGAUAGUGAACCAGUACCGUGAGGGAAAGGUGAAAAGCACCCCGGAAGGAGAGUGAAAUAGAACCUGAAACCGUGUGCUUACAAGUAGUCAGAGCCCGUUAAUGGGUGAUGGCGUGCCUUUUGUAGAAUGAACCGGCGAGUUACGAUUUGAUGCAAGGUUAAGCAGUAAAUGUGGAGCCGUAGCGAAAGCGAGUCUGAAUAGGGCGUUUAGUAUUUGGUCGUAGACCCGAAACCAGGUGAUCUACCCUUGGUCAGGUUGAAGUUCAGGUAACACUGAAUGGAGGACCGAACCGACUUACGUUGAAAAGUGAGCGGAUGAACUGAGGGUAGCGGAGAAAUUCCAAUCGAACCUGGAGAUAGCUGGUUCUCUCCGAAAUAGCUUUAGGGCUAGCCUCAAGUGAUGAUUAUUGGAGGUAGAGCACUGUUUGGACGAGGGGCCCCUCUCGGGUUACCGAAUUCAGACAAACUCCGAAUGCCAAUUAAUUUAACUUGGGAGUCAGAACAUGGGUGAUAAGGUCCGUGUUCGAAAGGGAAACAGCCCAGACCACCAGCUAAGGUCCCAAAAUAUAUGUUAAGUGGAAAAGGAUGUGGCGUUGCCCAGACAACUAGGAUGUUGGCUUAGAAGCAGCCAUCAUUUAAAGAGUGCGUACUAGCUCACUAGUCGAGUGACACUGCGCCGAAAAUGUACCGGGGCUAAACAUAUUACCGAAGCUGUGGAUUGUCCUUUGGACAAUGGUAGGAGAGCGUUCUAAGGGCGUUGAAGCAUGAUCGUAAGGACAUGUGGUGCGCUUAGAAGUGAGAAUGCCGGUGUGAGUAGCGAAAGACGGGUGAGAAUCCCGUCCACCGAUUGACUAAGGUUUCCAGAGGAAGGCUCGUCCGCUCUGGGUUAGUCGGGUCCUAAGCUGAGGCCGACAGGCGUAGGCGAUGGAUAACAGGUUGAUAUUCCUGUACCACCUAUAAUCGUUUUAAUCGAUGGGGGGACGCAGUAGGAUAGGCGAAGCGUGCGAUUGGAUUGCACGUCUAAGCAGUAAGGCUGAGUAUUAGGCAAAUCCGGUACUCGUUAAGGCUGAGCUGUGAUGGGGAGAAGACAUUGAGUCUUCGAGUCGUUGAUUUCACACUGCCGAGAAAAGCCUCUAGAUAGAAAAUAGGUGCCCGUACCGCAAACCGACACAGGUAGUCAAGAUGAGAAUUCUAAGGUGAGCGAGCGAACUCUCGUUAAGGAACUCGGCAAAAUGACCCCGUAACUUCGGGAGAAGGGGUGCUCUUUAGGGUUAACGCCCAGAAGAGCCGCAGUGAAUAGGCCCAAGCGACUGUUUAUCAAAAACACAGGUCUCUGCUAAACCGUAAGGUGAUGUAUAGGGGCUGACGCCUGCCCGGUGCUGGAAGGUUAAGAGGAGUGGUUAGCUUCUGCGAAGCUACGAAUCGAAGCCCCAGUAAACGGCGGCCGUAACUAUAACGGUCCUAAGGUAGCGAAAUUCCUUGUCGGGUAAGUUCCGACCCGCACGAAAGGCGUAACGAUUUGGGCACUGUCUCAACGAGAGACUCGGUGAAAUCAUAGUACCUGUGAAGAUGCAGGUUACCCGCGACAGGACGGAAAGACCCCGUGGAGCUUUACUGUAGCCUGAUAUUGAAAUUCGGCACAGCUUGUACAGGAUAGGUAGGAGCCUUUGAAACGUGAGCGCUAGCUUACGUGGAGGCGCUGGUGGGAUACUACCCUAGCUGUGUUGGCUUUCUAACCCGCACCACUUAUCGUGGUGGGAGACAGUGUCAGGCGGGCAGUUUGACUGGGGCGGUCGCCUCCUAAAAGGUAACGGAGGCGCUCAAAGGUUCCCUCAGAAUGGUUGGAAAUCAUUCAUAGAGUGUAAAGGCAUAAGGGAGCUUGACUGCGAGACCUACAAGUCGAGCAGGGUCGAAAGACGGACUUAGUGAUCCGGUGGUUCCGCAUGGAAGGGCCAUCGCUCAACGGAUAAAAGCUACCCCGGGGAUAACAGGCUUAUCUCCCCCAAGAGUUCACAUCGACGGGGAGGUUUGGCACCUCGAUGUCGGCUCAUCGCAUCCUGGGGCUGUAGUCGGUCCCAAGGGUUGGGCUGUUCGCCCAUUAAAGCGGUACGCGAGCUGGGUUCAGAACGUCGUGAGACAGUUCGGUCCCUAUCCGUCGUGGGCGUAGGAAAUUUGAGAGGAGCUGUCCUUAGUACGAGAGGACCGGGAUGGACAUACCUCUGGUGUACCAGUUGUCGUGCCAACGGCAUAGCUGGGUAGCUAUGUGUGGACGGGAUAAGUGCUGAAAGCAUCUAAGCAUGAAGCCCCCCUCAAGAUGAGAUUUCCCAACUUCGGUUAUAAGAUCCCUCAAAGAUGAUGAGGUUAAUAGGUUCGAGGUGGAAGCAUGGUGACAUGUGGAGCUGACGAAUACUAAUCGAUCGAAGACUUAAUCAA